rnacentral:rRNA from 1 species
AUGCACACUACCCAGAUAAUUGCUAGAUGUGCCCCAGUCAUCCCGUAUACUACUCAUAUAGUGGUCAGACACUACUCCUACACUAGCCAGACGAUGGCCAGACGCAAGACGGCAGUGACUGCGAGUGCGCCGGCCGUCGCCUGCGUGGCCCGCUCGUACGCUGCUCCGCCCCCUGCAUGUCUGCGCGCACUACCCUGCCGCUCUCCGCCGCUACAGCUGCCAGGCUCCACCGCGCUGGCCUCCUGCUCUAUCGCUGCUCUGCCAUGGCCGCCCUGCUGCACUGUCCUUCGGCAGGCGAGCUCAGGCCAGCGCUGCACCCUCGUUUUCCCCCAGCACCCGCUCGGCCCGGGCUUGCUGCUUCGCUCGGCCACCUCCGUCCGGCGCCGCAUCCCUCCGCCGUCCUCAACACCGGGUACUCCUGAGCGCCAAAUCCGGCCCCGCCUGGCCUCCGCCGGCUCCGACGCGGGCCGUGUGCGCCUCUCGUCUGCGCCCGCGCGUGGCCGGGUUCUCCAACCCCGCCGACUCCGCCUUGCCGCGCCCGCGCCGGGUGCUCCCCUUCUUGCGUGUCGGCCUCGCCGUUUGCCGUUGGCCGGGUCAGCCUCCACACGAACUGGCCGGCUCCGCCGCUCCCUCGCUGCAUGGUUGUUGCGUUCCGUCCGCCCGCUGAGCGCGCCUCCCACAUCCCGUCCGCCUGUUGGCCCCCGGCCGUGCCUGGCCGCUUCCGUCUCGCGCGCGCAGCGGGCCCCCUCCGUCGCGCCCGGCUCUGGUUGCGUCAUGCUUGCCCGGCCUCUCCAGCAGUCGCCUUCGCCGCUGACCGGCCCCGAGCGCCACACCGGCUUCGCAACCGUCGGGUGCGCUCGCGGCCGCCUGCUUCGAAGCCGGCCGCCGGCUCCAUCCCGCGUCGCCAGGCUCUGUCCGCGCGACCGGCUUCGCCAGCGCCUGGCGGCCGGGUCGCCGCUCCCCUCUGCUCCGCCCUGGCCACAACCCGGCUCCGGGUGCUUGGCUUGCCGUCCGGCUCCCCCGCUGGCCCGCUCGCCGCCUCACCUCCGGGCCCCGGGAGCGCCUUAG